rnacentral:rRNA from 1 species
GACGAAGGUCCCCAGCGUUACCCGGAUUUACUGGGCGUAAAGGACGAGAAGGCGGGAACGUAAGUUUACCCUAAAAGUCACCGAGCUCAACUCGGUGAAUGGGGUAAAUACUGCGUUCCUAGAGUCUGCCAGGGGCCAGCGGAACGGUCGGUGUAGGGGUGAAAUCCGAUGAUAUCGACCGGAACGCCGAAGGCGAAGGCAGCUGGCUAGGGCAGUACUGACGCUGAUCUCGUGAAAGCCAGGGGCGCGAACCGG